CAUCAUUUUUUGUAUAACAUGGGACGUGUUUUACCUGUGAUUGGUCCGUUUUAAUUAUCUGUAAAGCGUUUUAGUUUUUAAUUAGCCUGUCGUAAAGGGGGAAAAACAUUUAUCGUAGAUAAAUAUUUAAACUGGAUAUUCUUUGAUUCGGGGUGUUUUAAAAUCUCUGCACAUUUGGCCUACUGCAUGUUUGAAAAUGCUCACUUCCUCAUUUCCUACUCAUCACCAAGUUAGUAAGUACAUACUAACUUACUUAGUAUGCCACCUUACUUAGUAUGCCUGAGAAAUGUAGCCGCUGUGCUAUUUGUCAGUUUAGACUUGCUAGUUCACUGAAUUUCAGUAGCCUACAUCUUGACAUGCAUUAACACGUUGGGUUUGAAAGAUUGGCGUCAUGCUGUUGUCACAUACCAGUAGUGGUGCUGCUAGAGCCUCAAACACUCAAGCUGCUGCUUGCAUAUUGAGAUGCACUUCAGUGAAGGCUGGUGGACAGCUGCCAUCCGGUCUAGACUAAGCAGCUCCUCUCUUAUCACGAUCAAAGCACAUGUUUGCACUGAAAACUGGGAAAUAUGUGAGAGAUAUGCAAGGCAUGAACUGGUAGGACAAAAUGUGAGGUGAAAUAUAAAAUCCAAAUACCACCUUAAAUGGUAUUUGUCAGUAUUUUCAUAAAAGUUCCUGUUUUCUGAGCUGUUUUUAUUUCAUGGAAUCAUAAAAGGUUGAGGAUUUCCAAAUGUCUCUGAAGAAAAUAAAAAAGGCAUAAUAUGGCCGAUUGGUCUUAAAUACAUCCAUUCAUUCACUUGCUCGCAAGUAUUCACUUCCUCAAACCUGACCCGGACAUAUAAGCCUAAAAUAUGACAUCAGCCAGUGUUUUAGCCAAACACACACACUGUACAUGUCUGCAGAGCCAAAUGACCUGCACUUAUUAUAAGUCUAAUGGGGAAAUCUCAGGCAGCUGUGUGAAGGCAGUGAGGACACAGAUGUAAAUGUGUAAUGAAUGUUAAAAGCCUGCUUUCAACAGUAUCAUACCACCAUUCCCUUUCUAAACAAAUGUCUGUAAAAUCUAGCUUUAGAACAGAACAUCUAACAGAAAACCUGCUUUUUGAAAGUCUUAGACCGGCUGAAGGAUAUGAAACGAUGGCUUUUACAAUUUUUUUUAAUUACCUUUACCCCUUUCAGAAUGCUGCAAAUUAAUCAAUUAGUUUGUAGAAUUAUGCCAUUUUGCAUUUCUGAUGUUUCCAAGUGUAACAUCAUAAAUCAGGGUUAUUCAAAUAUUGUCCUGGAGGGCGAAUGCGCUGCAGAGUUUAGCUCCAACCCUGAUCAAACACAGCUGAGCAUGCUAAUCAGUGUCGUCACCAUCAUUAGAAAAAUCACAGGUAGGAGAGUUUGAUCAGGGUUGGAGCUAAACUCUGCAGCGCAUUGGCCCUCCAGGAUAAGAUUUGAAUAACCCUGUCAUAAAUCAUUCUGUAGUUUGGGAGGUUUGCUUUUAACCACAUAACAAAUCUGUUUAUUUUCAUACACAGAAGUCUUAAACUCUUAAAUUUCUCCUGAAUUGAAGCAUCUCAUGAACUACUAUGUGGAUCAGAUGUCCUUGGAGACAACACAAUGAAGGAAAGGCAUUAUCAAUACAUCUUUACAUUUUUCUAGUUACACCUAUUUUGCUCUCACAAAAUGAACAGCAAAAUUAUGUGAUUUUGAAACGAACAAACAAGAGGUUUAACUCACAAAAUAAAAGUUAAGUUUAUUGUUGAACAACAAACUCCACACAUACAACAAACAGGCCAAGGUAAAACAAAUAAUGUAGACAAAAAGUCAAAAGAAACCAAAACUCCUUUUCUUUGGCCUAGCCCUCCCAUACAAAAACUAGUUUAUGGUACAACUAAAGUUCAUACAUAAAAUUUACUGGAAUGCUCGGAGUUCAAUGACUGGUGAUUUUAUACAUGUUGCCUUUAUGUUGAAAUAUCGAGACAUGGUCAAACAAGUAAAAUUUCCAUAAAGAAGCACCGUUUUGGUCACAGGAGAUCAUGAUAAAGUGGCUGAUCUCUUCACAAUAUGUACAAAAAUAUAAAA